rnacentral:rRNA from 1 species
UGUUUUCAUUAAUCAAGAACGAAAGUUAGAGGUUCGAAGGCGAUCAGAUACCGCCCUAGUUCUAACCAUAAACGAUGCCAACCAGCGAUCCGCCUGAGUUCCUCAAAUGACUCGGCGGGCAGCUUCCGGGAAACCAAAGUCUUUGGGUUCCGGGGGAAGUAUGGUUGCAAAGCUGAAACUUAAAGGAAUUGACGGAAGGGCACCACCAGGAGUGGAGCCUGCGGCUUAAUUUGACUCAACACGGGAAAACUCACCCGGCCCGGACACUGGAAGGAUUGACAGAUUAAGAGCUCUUUCUUGAUUCAGUGGGUGGUGGUGCAUGGCCGUUCUUAGUUGGUGGAGCGAUUUGUCUGGUUAAUUCCGAUAACGAACGAGAUUCUAGCCUACUAAAUAGGCGUUCCGAUCACUCGAGUCGGACGUUCUUCUUAGAGGGACAAGCGGCGUUUAGCCGCACGAGACAGAGCAAUAACAGGUCUGUGAUGCCCUUAGAUGUCCGGGGCCGCACGCGCGCUACACUGAAGGAAUCAGCGUGUGCUUUCCCUCUCCGGCAGGAGUGGGUAACCCGAUGAAACUCCUUCGUGAUAGGGAUAGGGGCUUGUAAUUGUUCCCCUUGAACGAGGAAUUCCCAGUAAGCACGAGUCAUAACCUCGUGUUGAUUAAGUCCCUGCCCUUUGUGCACACCGCCCGUCGCUACUACCGAUUGAACGAGUUAGUGAGGUCUUCGGACUGGCACUCGGUGCGGGCCUCCGGUCCGCGUCGUCCUGCCGGAAAGAUGACCGAACUUGAUCGUUUAGAGGAAGUAAAAGUCGUAACAAGGUUUCC